rnacentral:rRNA from 1 species
GAAUUUAAGCCCCAGUAAACGGCGGCCGUAACUAUAACGGUCCUAAGGUAGCGAAAUUCCUUGUCGGGUAAGUUCCGACCCGCACGAAAGGCGUAAUGAUUUGAGCACUGUCUCGACAAUGCAUCCGGUGAAAUUGAAGUACCAGUGAAGAUGCUGGUUACCUGCGCCAGGACGGAAAGACCCCAUGGAGCUUUACUCCAGCUUGAUACUGGGAUUCGAUACUGUAUGUACAGGAUAGGUGGGAGACGUUGAGCAUAGAACGCCAGUUUUAUGUGAGUCGCUGUUGGGAUACCACCCUUGCAGUAUUGGAUUUCUAACCUGCACCCAUGACCUGGGUGGGGGACAAUGUCUGGCGGGGAGUUUGACUGGGGCGGUCGCCUCCGAAAGGGUAUCGGAGGCGCUCAAAGGUUCCCUCAGAAUGGUUGGAAACCAUUCGAAGAGUGCAAAGGCAGAAGGGAGCUUGACUGUGACACCGACGGGUGGAACAGGUACGAAAGUAGGACUUAGUGAUCCGGUGGUAUAAAGUGGGAUUGCCAUCGCUCAACGGAUAAAAGCUACCCUGGGGAUAACAGGCUUAUCACUCCCAAGAGUUCACAUCGACGGAGUGGUUUGGCACCUCGAUGUCGGCUCAUCGCAUCCUGGGGCUGUAGCAGGUCCCAAGGGUUGGGCUGUUCGCCCAUUAAAGCGGUACGCGAGCUGGGUUCAGAACGUCGUGAGACAGUUCGGUCCCUAUCCGGCGCAGGCGGAGGAUAUUUGAGAGGAGCUGUCCUUAGUACGAGAGGACCGGGAUGGACGGACCACUGGUGUAUCUGUUGGCUAUCAGAGCCAUGGCAGAGUAGCCAAGUCCGGCAGGGAUAAACGCUGAAGGCAUCUAAGCGUGAAGCCCCCCUCAAGAUGAGAUAUCCCUCAGAAAUGAGUAAGACCCCUUGAAGACUACGAGGUAGAUAGGAAUGAGGUGUAAGCACAGUAAUGUGUUCAGCUGACAUUUACUAAUCGGUCGAGGGCUUGACCAA